rnacentral:rRNA from 1 species
UGGGGAAUCUUGCACAAUGGGGGAAACCCUGAUGCAGCGACGCCGCGUGAACGAUGAAGCCCUUCGGGGUGUAAAGUUCUUUCGACAGGAACGAUAAUGACGGUACCUGGAGAAGAAGCUGCGGCUAACUACGUGCCAGCAGCCGCGGUAAUACGUAGGCAGCGAGCGUUGUUCGGAGUUACUGGGCGUACAGAGUGCGUAGUCGGCGAGCCAAGUUUGGUGUGAAAUCUCCCGGCUUAACCGGGAGGGUGCGCCGAAAACUGGUUGGCUGGAGUAUGGGAGAGNAAAGCGGAAUUCCUGGUGUAGCGGUGAAAUGCGUAGAUAUCAGGAGGAACACCUGCGGUGUAGACAGCUUUCUGGACCAAAACUGACGCUGCGGCACGAAAGCGUGGGUAGCAAACA